rnacentral:lncRNA from 1 species
CCACAGGCCAUUCUUCUUUAAAUCUAACGAAACCUACAAAAUAAUAUGCACCAAGAAUCAUUAAACUAAAUAAAUUUAAAAAAAUUGAAAAAGCUCCCCAAAAGACUAACAAAAAGAAAGAAAGAAAAAGAUCUAUCGUCCCAACUUUUUCUUCUCAACUUUUCACACCAUAAUGAAUAUUGAUCUCACUUUUUAUACACAAAUAACGUUUUCAGAGCUAACUUAUAAAGCAACAUGAUUACAAACUAAAUAAAUAAUAAAAUAAUUCAAAAACCCCAACUCUUUUCUCUAUGGAUCCUAAUCAUUAAUCCACUAAAACACACCAAGAAAUACUCUCCAC